UUGAAUAAUCAAGAAGAUCCCAAUUCAUUCAAAGCUCUAACUAUCACUGAGCAACACAUGCUUCAAUGACAAUCUGAACUUCGAAUUAAUUUGUAAAACGGAAAUUCUUUAGAAACUUGAAGAUUAGAAAGAAUGGGUCAGAAUACUCGCACUUUCGAACAUUGAAAAGAAAGGUAUGAAUACUUGAAACAUAUACCAAAGGAAUGGAUCAGAAUAUUUGCAAUAUAUCCAAGAGAAGGGUUUAGGAUACUUGCCUUAAAUCUGACUCCAGUUUCACAGCUCAAUCUCAUCUUUCAACUUUCACAAUCUAUGCAUCUCGUAAUCUCUAGACCAUCUCUAGCUAUACUCUAUUCGCCACAUCGCUUCGCUUACUCGAUUCAUCCCUUAUUCGCUUUGCAAUACCAUUCCGACUUUCUGACGUCUUCGAGCGUACACGUCUCGUCCAAAUCCUUUACGAGAAUAAGAUAAUACUAUAGUCACUAAACAAUAUAUCGCAUAUACAUAUCACGUAUAUCGAUACCCACUUAUAUAUCCCUUUAAACUUAUCAGAUACCACGUAACACAUAAGCAUGCUUUGACUCUAACAUAUAGUCAAUCAUAUUCCACAUAACAUAUCACCAAUCAAUUAUCAUAUAAAUCCUUAUCGAAAAUCCGACAUCGUCUCGUCUAUGUAUAAGACUAUCCACCUGUUAUCCUAUCUCAAUCAUUAAUCAACCAACAAAAUCCAAUAACUAUAAUCCAUAUAUUCUUAUCCAAUAUCAAUCAUACGAAUCAUUUAUCACUUCACAAUAUCAAAACUAACACGUACUUCACAUAAUCAUCACUUGAUAGCACUUAGAUCACAUAUUAUCACAUUAUGCAUACUUAUCAACAAUUAUUCACCUUAUAGACUCAGCCAUAUAGUCACAUCAUAUUAAAAUAGACGUUAUAAGCUUCUGUCUCUCUUUCGUUUCACUUGAUUCCGACUUACGGAUCAAAAGUUAUGCUCAAAACAGUUUUCUCACUCUCCUAUCGGCACAUAACACAUCCAACCAAUAGCAGACAACACACAACACAUAAGGUUUCCCAUCCCAAUUGAUAUUAAAUCAAGUCUUGGGUUAAAAAUGAUUUUUCGGGAAUUUUCUGGAAUUUUUAAACAUUUUUCGGAAUUAAAAUCGAUAAAAGAAUCACUUUUCGGAUAAAUAAUCAAGUCCCAAAUACUUGAAAUUGGACUUGAAAUCAUUCAUAAACAAUUAUCGAGCCUUGAAAAUAAUUUAGAAAAAUAUUUUAAAGCUCGAAACUAUUUUUCGGAAUUUUUAAAUCAAAAAGGAUAAUUAAAUCCAAUUAAUUAAUCAAUUAAAUCAAUUAAUAAUUAAUUAAAAUAAUUAAUCAAUUAAUAUUUAAAUUAAUUGACUAAUUAAAAUAAUUAAUUACUAAUUAAAAUUAAUUAACAAACUAAUUUAGAUUUAUUUUUGAAUAAAGAAAUAAUUAAAAACUAUUUUUGGAAUUUAAAAUAAUUAAAUAAAACAAUUUUAGGAAAUUACAUCAAAAAGGUUUAUUUUGUAAACUUUUGAAAAUUUUCAACCAGGGUUUAAACUGUAACUUUAGAAAGUUACAGGGGGUGAUAUGUAACUUUUAAAACUUGGGUAUGAGAACUGUAUCAUUUUCGAAAGUAGGAGGGCCAAACUGCACUUUUGCAGCGGCACCUCCCCCCCGUCGCCGUUAAUCGCCGGAAUCGGCGUUUCCGAGCUCCUUUCCCCACCAGAAACUGCAGAUAGGAUCUUUGAGCAUCCAAAAACUUAACCACGCCAUCAGAUUAAUCAGAAGCGGCCCUAUUUGGCCGGAAAAUUCAUAUAAAAGCUCGCCGCCGGCGAGUUUCUUUUGAAACUCCGGCGAGCCCUUUCUUGACAUCCCACAUAACCUUCGAACACACACGCACGUUCCUCCCAUCACACUCUAUCUGUUUGUCAACUCAAAACUCACCCAGAAUUAGCCAAUUACAAAACCCCAAUCUUCAAUUGAAAAUAUUCAAACUAACCUCAAGAACACUCCUCAAGAAUUAAACAUGAAUUUCUAUAUGUUAUCGAACUCGAAAAUCAACAUAUAAUAUACCAAAACGACGAGAAAAACAUGCUCUACAUCAUAGAAUCAUCAAAACAAUCAAACAAACACGUUUGCAAAAAUUCACUAUUUAAAUCAUAAUAAUUCGAAUUUUAAAACUUCAAUUACUCCCUACCUGUGAAUCUCAUGUUGUUUUUGAUGAUUGAUUUGGGUUCUACUCUUCGAUAUCUUCGAUUUGACUAUUUGCACGCUUGAUUCUGACUCCAAUAACACCUUCAAAUCUUCGUUUGAUUAUGAAGAACACGAAGAACACCGCUCGGUUUCUCUCGGUAUUCGUGCAAAGAAACUGGUGAAAUGAUUUUACGGGUGAAAAUAAGCUCUAGAAAGGUCUAUUUAUAUUUACAAAUAAUUGGUACCCCUUU
rnacentral:lncRNA from 1 species